CUGUGUUUGGAUGGCCUGCAGGGGUGGAAAAAAUAGGCGAGCACGCGAGCACUGCUCGCAGGAUAUGUUAAACAGCUGCAGGAACUUCGUUUGAACGAAGAUUUGCUAUUGAUUUGCUACGCAUGUCCCAUUCAUUCACCCAUGCCUCAUUCAUUCAUUCAUUCAUGCAUUCAUGUUUAUGCACAUACAGAUUUAGCACAAAAAUACUCC
rnacentral:lncRNA from 1 species